AGUAUUAGAGUCUCUUUUUAGAGAUCCCGGCUUUCCGUGCCGGAGUGCUUAAUUAUAAGUAAUGCUC
rnacentral:tRNA from 1 species